UACGGAGGAUGCGAGCGUUAUCCGGAUUUAUUGGGUUUAAAGGGUGCGUAGGCGGUCCGUUAAGUCAGCGGUAAAAUUGCGGGGCUCAACCCCGUCGAGCCGUUGAAACUGGCAGACUUGAGUUGGCGAGAAGUACGCGGAAUGCGCGGUGUAGCAGUGAAAUGCAUAGAUAUCGCGCAGAACUCCGAUUGCGAAGGCAGCGUACCGGCGCCAGACUGACGCUGAGGCACGAAAGCGUGGGGAUCGAACAGG
rnacentral:rRNA from 1 species